CCCGCCCCAACCCCCUUUCAUCCCACGGACAUGGCACGGCCACCCCAGAACGCCGCGCCGCCGCCGCCCCCUCCUCCCCCGAUCCCCGGGGCCGGCGUGAGUCAGGUGUGAAGCCGCCGCCGGCAGGAGGUCGCUCCCCCCCUCCCGCCCCCUCGCAGGGGGCAGCCCUGACGCUGGGGUUUUCCUUUUUUUGGGGGCUUUUUUAAAUUUUUUUUUUUAAAUUUUUUUUUUUUUUUUGGCCCCACCGCCUCCCUCCCUCCCUCCUUCCUUCCCUCCCCUCGCUCCCUCCCUCCAGGAAUCCAGCGCUGCACCGAAGCCAGAAGAGAGGGAGCAAAAAAAAAAAAAAAAAAAAAAAAAAA